rnacentral:rRNA from 1 species
GAUGAACGCUGGCGGCGUGCCUAAUACAUGCAAGUCGAGCGAACAGACGAGGAGCUUGCUCCUCUGACGUUAGCGGCGGACGGGUGAGUAACACGUGGAUAACCUACCUAUAAGACUGGGAUAACUUCGGGAAACCGGAGCUAAUACCGGAUAAUAUAUUGAACCGCAUGUUUCAAUAGUGAAAGACGGUUUUGCUGUCACUUAUAGAUGGAUCCGCGCCGCAUUAGCUAGUUGGUAAGGUAACGGCUUACAAAGGCGACGAUGCGUAGCCGACCUGAGAGGGUGAUCGGCCACACUGGAACUGAGACACGGUCCAGACUCCUACGGGAGGCAGCAGUAGGGAAUCUUCCGCAAUGGGCGAAAGCCUGACGGAGCAACGCCGCGUGAGUGAUGAAGGUCUUCGGAUCGUAAAACUCUGUUAUUAGGGAAGAACAAAUGUGUAAGUAACUAUGCACGUCUUGACGGUACCUAAUCAGAAAGCCACGGCUAACUACGUG